UCCGUNAGGGGUACCUGCGGAAGGAUCAUUACUGAAUUGUCAAACGGGUUUGUUGCUGGCCCUCAUAGGGGGCAUGUGCACGCUCUGUUUACACAUCCACUCACACCUGUGCACCCUCUGGUAGUUCUAUGGUCUGGGGGACCCUGUCUUCCUUCUGUGGUUCUACGUCUUUACACACACACUGUAANAAAGUUUUAUGGAAUGUACAUCGCGUCUAACGCAAUACAAUACAACUUUCAGCAACGGAUCUCUUGGCUCUCGCAUCGAUGAAGAACGCAGCGAAAUGCGAUAAGUAAUGUGAAUUGCAGAAUUCAGUGAAUCAUCGAAUCUUUGAACGCACCUUGCGCCCCUUGGCUAUUCCGAGGGGCAUGCCUGUUUGAGUAUCAUGAACACCUCAACUCUCAUGGUUUGCCAUGAUGAGUUGGACUCUGGGGGUUUUGCUGGCCUGUGGUCGGCUCCUCUCAAAUUAAUCAGCCUCCCAGUGUUUGGUGGCAUCACGGGUGUGAUAAAUAUCUACGCUCGCUGUUGUCUGCCAGGUAACCUUUGGUCACAAAGGUUUGCUGGAGCUCACAGAUGUCUCUCCUCAGCGAGGACAGCUUUUUUAACGUUCGAUCUCAAAUCAGGUAGGACUACCCGCUGAACUUAAGCAUAUCAUAANNCCGGAAGGA
rnacentral:rRNA from 1 species